UAUUGGGCAAUGGACGCAAGUCUGACCCAGCAACGCCGCGUGAAGGAAGAAGGCUUUCGGGUUGUAAACUUCUUUUAAGGGGGAAGAGCNGAAGACGGUACCCCUUGAAUAAGCCACGGCUAUCUACGUGCCAGAAGCCGCGGUAAUACGUAGGUGGCAAGCGUUGUCCGGAUUUACUGGGUGUAAAGGGCGUGCAGCCGGAGAGACAAGUCAGAUGUGAAAUCCGCAGGCUCAACCUGCGAACUGCAUUUGAAACUGUUUCCCUUGAGUAUCGGAGAGGUCAUCGGAAUUCCUAGUGUAGCGGUGAAAUGCGUAGAUAUUAGGAAGAACACCAGUGGCGAAGGCGGAUGACUGGACGACAACUGACGGUGAGGCGCGAAAGCGUGGGGCGCAAACAGG
rnacentral:rRNA from 1 species